GGACACGUGGCCAUCAGGAACCAUGAGCAACCCAUUUGUACACCUCGCUGAGCCUUUGGAUCCUGCACAACCAGGAAAGAAAUUUUUCAAUUUGAAUAAAUUGGAUGAUUCAAGAUAUGAACGCUUACCAUUUUCUAUCAGAGUUCUCCUGGAGGCAGCCAUUCGAAACUGUGAUCAAUUUUUGGUGAAGAAAAAUGAUGUUGAAAAUAUCCUAAAUUGGAAUAUCAUGCAGCAUAAGAACAUAGAAGUGCCAUUUAAGCCUGCCCGUGUCAUCCUGCAGGACUUCACGGGCGUUCCAGCUGUGGUUGACUUUGCUGCAAUGCGUGAUGCUGUGAAAAAGUUAGGAGGAGAUCCAGAGAAAAUAAACCCUGUCUGUCCUGCUGAUCUUGUAAUUGAUCAUUCCAUCCAGGUUGAUUUCAACAGAAGGGCAGACAGUUUACAGAAGAAUCAAGACUUGGAGUUUGAAAGAAAUAGAGAACGAUUUGAAUUUUUAAAGUGGAGUUCUCAGGCUUUUCGCAACAUGCGGAUUAUUCCCCCUGGCUCAGGAAUCAUCCACCAGGUGAAUUUGGAGUAUCUGGCAAGAGUGGUAUUUGAUCAAGAUGGAUAUUAUUACCCAGACAGCCUCGUGGGCACAGAUUCACACACCACCAUGAUUGAUGGUUUGGGCGUUCUUGGUUGGGGUGUGGGUGGUAUUGAAGCAGAAGCUGUCAUGCUGGGUCAGCCAAUCAGCAUGGUGCUUCCCCAGGUGAUUGGCUACAGGCUGAUGGGAAAUCCCCAUCCUCUGGUAACAUCCACUGACAUCGUGCUAACCAUUACCAAGCACCUCCGCCAGGUUGGGGUAGUGGGAAAAUUUGUCGAGUUCUUUGGGCCAGGAGUAACCCAACUGUCCAUUGCUGACCGAGCCACGAUAGCCAACAUGUGUCCAGAGUAUGGAGCGACAGCCGCCUUUUUCCCGGUCGAUGAAGUCAGUAUCAAGUACCUCAUACAGACAGGUCGUGAUGAAGAAAAGGUAAAGCACAUUAAAAAGUAUCUGCAGGCUGUAGGAAUGUUUCGUGAUUUCAGUGACCCCUCUCAAGACCCAGAUUUUGCCCAGGUUGUGGAAUUGGAUUUGAAAACAGUGGUACCUUGCUGCAGUGGACCCAAGAGGCCUCAAGACAAAGUUGCCGUGUCUGACAUGAAAAAGGACUUUGAGAGCUGCCUUGGAGCCAAGCAAGGAUUUAAAGGAUUCCAGGUUGCUCCAGAUCAUCAUGAUGACUAUAAGACUUUUAUCUAUAAUAAUAACGAAUUCACCCUUGCUCAUGGUUCUGUGGUAAUUGCUGCCAUUACCAGUUGCACAAACACCAGUAAUCCAUCUGUGAUGUUAGGAGCAGGAUUGUUAGCAAAGAAAGCUGUGGAUGCUGGCCUGACCGUGAAGCCAUACAUCAAAACUAGCCUUUCUCCUGGGAGUGGUGUGGUCACCUACUACCUGCGAGAAAGCGGAGUCAUGCCUUAUCUGUCUCAGCUUGGGUUUGACGUGGUGGGCUAUGGUUGCAUGACCUGCAUUGGCAACAGUGGGCCCUUGCCUGAACCUGUGGUAGAAGCCAUCAUACAGGGAGACCUUGUAGCUGUUGGAGUAUUAUCUGGGAACAGGAAUUUUGAAGGUCGAGUUCACCCCAAUACCCGGGCCAACUAUUUAGCCUCUCCGCCCUUAGUAAUAGCAUAUGCAAUUGCUGGGACCAUCAAGAUUGACUUUGAGAAAGAGCCAUUGGGGGUAAAUGCAAAAGGGCAACAAGUAUUUCUGAAAGAUAUCUGGCCAACUAGAGAGGAGAUCCAGGCGGUGGAGCAUCAGUAUGUCAUCCCUGGGAUGUUUAAGGAGGUCUAUCAGAAAAUAGAGACUGUGAAUAAAAGCUGGAAUGCUUUAACAGCCCCAUCAGAUAAGCUGUAUUACUGGAAUCCCAAAUCUACAUACAUUAAGUCACCGCCAUUCUUUGAAAACCUGACUUUGGAUCUUCAGCCCCCUAAAUCUAUUGUGGAUGCCUAUGUGCUAUUAAAUUUGGGAGAUUCAGUAACAACUGACCACAUCUCUCCAGCUGGAAAUAUUGCAAGAAACAGCCCUGCUGCUCGCUACUUAACUAACAGAGGCCUGACUCCACGAGAAUUCAACUCCUACGGCUCCCGCCGAGGUAAUGAUGCCAUCAUGGCACGGGGAACAUUUGCCAACAUUCGCUUAUUAAACAAAUUUUUGAACAAACAGGCACCACAGACUAUACAUCUGCCUUCUGGAGAAACUCUUGAUGUGUUUGAUGCCGCUGAGCGUUACCAGCAGGCGGGCCUUCCCCUGAUCAUUCUGGCCGGCAAAGAGUACGGCUCGGGCAGCUCCCGGGACUGGGCAGCCAAAGGCCCUUUCCUCUUGGUGAACGUGAGGAAUAAGCCAAGGCUGCUACUACUGAGUGAUCUGCCAGGUUCACGAGUGGGAAAAAACUCAACAGAGAAGGACACUGUCUCUAUAGACAGGCAGCUCGUUAGAACCUUCAGCCAUUGCAAGACAACCUGCCUGAGGGAAUCAGAGCUGUCCUGGCUGAGAGUUACGAGCGAAUUCACCGUAGUAACUUGGUCGGAAUGGGGGUGAUACCCCUCGAAUAUCUUCCUGGGGAGACUGCAGACACCCUGGGACUCACAGGGCGGGAACGAUACACUGUCAUCAUUCCAGAAAACCUCAAACCCCAAAUGAAAGUCCAGAUCAAGCUGGAUACCGGGAAAACCUUUCAGGCUGUCAUGAGGUUUGACACCGACGUGGAGCUCACUUAUUUCCACAACAGAGGCAUCCUUAACUACAUGAUCCGCAAGAUGGUCAAGUAGGCCCUCGUUUCUUAGGAGAGCUGCAUUUGGAGCUACACCAGGGAGCAUGUGCACCAGGGAGAUGAGCCCCUGGUGCAGAAGCAGAAGCAUCCCCCCCACCUCCAUGCAAGGUGCUGCCUUGCAGAUGGAGCACAUGAGCACUGGCAUUCUGGUGCCAUUUCUCCAGGCACAAAAUCAGCAGUUUCUACAUUCUCUAUUUUUGUUAAUCUUUUUAUCUUUUUCUAUAAUUUGGAAACUAGAAUGGUGGGAAUGUCAGUAGUGUCAGAAAGAACUAAGAUCGUCUUUAUAGUUACUGCUCAUAGAAUGUCGAUUUUUCACUCUUAGCCUGUUAAUGUUCAGCUGGACAAAAAUAACUCUUCUCGGAAGCUAUCUCCUGUCCUCUUUUUUGAACUUGUUUUCCUCAGCUCAAUGAAACCUUUCCCUUGAGGGUCAUUUGCCUUUGCAUAUUACACCAGUGUUAACUGACAUGGUAGAUAAGAACUUUUUAACACUUCAAAUCACAGUAGUGAUUACGAUUUUUCCCUUCCUCCUUUCCUUCAGAGUGCAUGAUCCAGAAACCUCAUGGACAGGUCAGAUGUUGAAACUUUUUGAUUAUGUACCUUUUGAUAGGUGAACAUUAAAGAAAUGUGAAGUUUUCUUUUACUAUCUUCAAAAAUUUUCCCCAGAAAACUUUUUAUUUGUCAAAAGGAUAAUAUGAAGUUGGUUUUAGAGAGAGACACAGAACAUUUCUAAUUUGAAUAAAAUAAAUCUAUUUUCAAGGAAAA